GUCCUUUUUAAAAACAGACAUUUUUCCUUAGUGUGCUCUACAUACCAUAUCAAUGAUCGGGAGAAUCCUAUUCCAACUUCUGUCUCUCACAGAUGUUUUCCACCUCGUCCUGUCUCUUCCUUAUAAAUACCACCUAGUCCAACAGGGGAGAAAUUGGAGUGAUGCUCAGACGUACUGCCGAGACAACUACAUUGUCCUGGCUACUGUUGAAGGCAAUGACGACAUGAUUAAGCUUCAAAAUGAGGCACAGAAACAACAAUUCUCUUCCAGCGCUUGGAUUGGCCUGUACAAUGAUCCUAAUAGCUGGCGCUGGUCCAUGGACAAUCAACCACUAGGAAGUUUCACAGUUUGGUGUUCCGGAG
ensembl:lncRNA